AUACCGGCGGCUCGAGUGGUGGCCACUAUUACUGGGCUUAAAGCGUCCGUAGCUUGGUUGUUAAGUCUCUUGGGAAAUCUGUCGGCUUAACCGACAGGCGUUUAAGGGAUACUGGCAAUCUAGGGACCGGGAGAGGUGAGAGGUACUCCAGGGGUAGGAGUGAAAUCCUGUAAUCCUUGGGGGACCACCUGUGGCGUAGGCGUCUCACCAGAACGGCUCCGACAGUGAGGGACGAAAGCUGGGGGAGCAAACCGGAUUAGAUACCCGGGUAGUCCCAGCCGUAAACGAUGCGCGUUAGGUGUAUCGGUGACCACGAGUCACCGAGGUGCCGAAGGGAAACCGUGAAACGUGCCGCCUGGGAAGUACGGUCGCAAGGCUGAA
rnacentral:rRNA from 1 species